GUGGGGAAUUUUGGACAAUGGGCGCAAGCCUGAUCCAGCCAUUCCGCGUGCAGGAUGAAGGCCUUCGGGUUGUAAACUGCUUUUGUACGGAACGAAAAGCCUCUGGUUAAUACCCGGGGGUCAUGACGGUACCGUAAGAAUAAGCACCGGCUAACUACGUGCCAGCAGCCGCGGUAAUACGUAGGGUGCAAGCGUUAAUCGGAAUUACUGGGCGUAAAGCGUGCGCAGGCGGUUAUAUAAGACAGAUGUGAAAUCCCCGGGCUCAACCUGGGAACUGCAUUUGUGACUGUAUAGCUAGAGUACGGUAGAGGGGGAUGGAAUUCCGCGUGUAGCAGUGAAAUGCGUAGAUAUGCGGAGGAACACCGAUGGCGAAGGCAAUCCCCUGGACCUGUACUGACGCUCAUGCACGAAAGCGUGGGGAGCAAACAGGAUUAGAUACCCUUGUAGUCC
rnacentral:rRNA from 1 species